GACGAACGCUGGCGGCGUGCUUAACACAUGCAAGUCGAACGGAAAGGCCCUGCUUUUGUGGGGUGCUCGAGUGGCGAACGGGUGAGUAACACGUGAGUAACCUGCCCUUGACUUUGGGAUAACUUCAGGAAACUGGGGCUAAUACCGGAUAGGAGCUCCUGCUGCAUGGUGGGGGUGGGAAAGUUUCGGCGGUUGGGGAUGGACUCGCGGCUUAUCAGCUUGUUGGUGGGGUAGUGGCUUACCAAGGCUUUGACGGGUAGCCGGCCUGAGAGGGUGACCGGCCACAUUGGGACUGAGAUACGGACCAGACUCCUACGGGAGGCAGCAGUGGGGAAUAUUGCACAAUGGGCGGAAGCCUGAUGCAGCAACGCCGCGUGCGGGAUGACGGCCUUCGGGUUGUAAACCGCUUUAGCCUGUGACGAAGCGUGAGUGACGGUAAUGGGUAAAGAAGCACCGGCUAACUACGUG
rnacentral:rRNA from 1 species